rnacentral:rRNA from 1 species
GACGAACGCUGGCGGCGUGCUUAACACAUGCAAGUCGAACGGAAAGGCCCUGCUUUUCUGUGGUGCUCGAGUGGCGAACGGGUGAGUAACACGUGAGUAACCUGCCCUUGACUUUGGGAUAACCUCAGGAAACUGGGGCUAAUACCGGAUAGGAGCUCCUGCUGCAUGGUGGGGGUGGGAAAUUUUCCGCGGUUGGGGAUGGACUCGCGGCUUAUCAGCUUGUUGGUGGGGUAGUGGCUUACCAAGGCUUUGACGGGUAGCCGGCCGGAGGGGGUGACCGGCCAAAUGGGGACUGGGAUAGGGCCAAGACUCCUACGGGAGGAAGAAGGGGGGAAUAUUGCAAAAUGGGCGGAGGCCUGAUGCAGCAACGCGGCGUGCGGGAUGACGGCCUUCGGGUGGUAAACCGCUUUCGCCUGUGACGAAGCGUGAGUGACGGUAAUGGGUAAAGAAGCACCGGCUAACUACGUG